AAGGAUCAUUACUGAGUUAGGGUCUUCUAGGCCCGACCUCCCAACCCAAUGUUUAUUUAACCAAUGUUGCUUCGGCGGGCCCGUCUCACGACCGCCGGGGGACCGUAAUACGUCCUCUGGCCCGUGCCCGCCGGUGGCCUUUUAACAAAACUCUGCAUGAAUCGUGUUUAUUUGUCUGAGUUAAAAAGUCUUAAUUAAAGCAAAACUUUCAACAACGGAUCUCUUGGUUCUG
rnacentral:misc_RNA from 1 species